UGCUGGAAUAUUGCUAAAAGUGGCAUAAAACCAAACUCACUGCGUACCGAACUCACUCACUCACUCAACUGUCAUAAUGGAAUGGUGACAUCAUAUCCUGCAUUAUCGAGGAUGGUGGGAAAUAACCAAGUAUUGUGUGAUAUCCAUGUUAGCCUUGAAGUGAUGUGUAUAUGUAUAUGUAUAUAUCAACCCGUUUGUUACACUGUGUAUACUUACACCAUUGUUGUGCUGCUACACAUUGUGUAUAUCUGAUGAUACCUGUAAACUGUGUGCUCUUCUACUGUUAUUUAUUAAACUGGUAUUGCUGA